rnacentral:ncRNA from 12 species
GUUUUCAAGGUCUGUGGUUGAAAAUCCAAGCCAGGUGCGGGCAAAAGGAUCCACGUAAACCGUAAGCGUAUCGCUGCGACUAUCAUGGCGCACUCUAGAAGUAAGUCCUCGGGGAAAUCUCGGUAAAGGCAGGUGUGGGGGCAAAAACCAGGUCAGCUUGAAAAU